UACGAGGGGAGCUAGCGUUGUUCGGAAUUACUGGGCGUAAAGCGCGCGUAGGCGGUUUUCCAAGUCAGGGGUGAAAGCCCGGGGCUCAACCCCGGAAUAGCCCUUGAAACUGGAGAACUAGAAUCUUGGAGAGGUCAGUGGAAUUCCGAGUGUAGAGGUGAAAUUCGUAGAUAUUCGGAAGAACACCAGUGGCGAAGGCGACUGACUGGACAAGUAUUGACGCUGAGGUGCGAAAGCGUGGGGAGCAAAC
rnacentral:rRNA from 1 species